rnacentral:rRNA from 1 species
GAAAUUCGCCUUCAUGAAGCCGGAAUUGCUAGUAAUGGCAGGUCAGCAUACUGCCGUGAAUACGUUCCCGGGCCUUGUACACACCGCCCGUCACACCAUGGGAGUUUGUAACGCCCAAAGUCGGUGGCCUAACCUUUAUGGAGGGAGCCGCCUAAGGCGGGACAGAUGACUGGGGUGAAGUCGUAACAAGGUAAC